UCGGAGUCAGGUAACGGCCUGAAGAUGAGUCCACUGCAAGGUGGGCGAGUCGGAAGGUUGCUUACCCAACGUCCAGCACUUCAAGUGCUCACGCUUAUCGGUUGUUCGUCAGGUGUUGACCUGAAUCGGGCCUGUAGCUCAGUUGGUUAGAGCACCGUCUUGAUAAGGCGGGGGUCGAUGGUUCGAAUCCAUCCAGACCCACCAUUAUCGAAGGACGCGGGGCUGUAGCUCAGCUGGGAGAGCACCUGCUUUGCAAGCAGGGGGUCGUCGGUUCGAUCCCGAUCAGCUCCACCAGUUACGGGUAGGCGAGGCAGAGGACAGAGCUAAGCGGAAGCGGCGUUUAGCUCUGAUCUUUGGAUCGGUGCCGAGAAGGUUUCGGACGUUCUUUAACAACAUGGAAGAAGUAAAGCGUCUUGCUCGUUAAGAGCGGGUUUACGCGCGAGCGUGGAUUCGAAGAACGGGCGAGACUGGGUUAGAUUGUAUCGAGCCUGCUUACGCUUAGUCGGCGUAAGCGGGAGUGCGCAAACACCUGUAAUGCGAGGCGGAGUAGUGCGUAGCGUUAUGG
rnacentral:tRNA from 1 species